GCCACAUAUACAUUUCCUUUUACAGCUUAAAAUUGUAGUUCUUUGGGCCACAGCAAGCAGCUUCUCUUUUCCUAUAAUAUUUGCAAGGAUUUUCUAUAUUGUGGCUGUACCUCUCAAGGAUGCAACUCAUGAUUCAACAUCAUCAUUCACAGACUGUGUGAGUAAUAACGUGCUUGGCACUGAGCUCCAGCUGGAGAAUAGGAGGAUGUUGCAGAGAAGAAAAUAUGAUCUUUUAAUUGAAUUAGUAAGUACUGCUACAGUCAUAAAUGGGAAAAUGUACAGACAUUAACAGAUUGCAGCAUUAAAAGAAUUUUAAAUGUCUUACUUAAACUGUUGUGUUUUAAUGAAAAGUGUAAAAUCACUGGAAAACCAAACUAACUGAUGUGGAACAUGCCUGCACACUGCAAAAAAUGACUGCAGAUUUUUUUUUUUUUUUUUUUUUUUUUUGUUACGUUUGGAACUGUUUACUAGCUUGAUGUCGCCAUCUUUUUGCAUUUGCCAGCUCAUUGCUUAUACCUUGGUGUGUUAUAUGAAAUUGGCUGUUUCGUGUGUCACGCCUUGGGGGGCGGGCACCAGUGUGUAUACGAGACAAACAAUUCCCAUUCAUAAAACCUGCUCCAUGGCGCUUAUAAAGGCCGAACACUCCACAGGGAAGCUUUCAAAGAGGCUCCCCCAGGACUCCUGCCUGACUGGUUGUAAAUGAACUCCAAAGGCGAGACUCAAAACAACCUGUCAGGGCUCUUCACCACCCGAGGAAUCUUUCAAUACAGCGGCGGAGCUUUUGGUGGAUUUUGACACUGCUGUUCACUCUGGCGCCUGGUUGACAAGUCUCCCUGAGUCACCAGAAGCUUGUGCCAACUGGAGGGAAAGAGCCUGACCACUAACAAGUGUUCACUGACUCAUAGCCGCCACAGUAUGUCCCACUGUGUGUGCAUGUGCAUGUGUGCCUUUAUAUACUAUUCUAUUAUAUACUAUUCUAUUUCUCACUUUGCACCCAUCCCACAGAAAAUGUGUCCUUUUAGAAAUGAUCAUGUAUUUUAGCGCACAUGCAGUGCCCUCCCAAACUACUGUCAGCUGUAACAAAGACACAUAAACACCAAGAGGGAAAUAAGAUAUCACAACACAGUCAAUAAAAAUGAGGAGUAGUUUUUUUUAACUAUUAUUCUGAAGUUUUUGUCUCAAUUUUUAGCAUCCAUUCUUAAUAGUUAUUAUCCUCUUUAAAAUGUUGCAAUUAGACUUAGACUGCACUUUAUAAAAAUGGGGCGGACAUCCCCAAUUAAGACUUGGACCUCCUCCAGAAGAGGUAAAAACCAGCUAGACACUAACUUUGUCUGCUGUUUGGUGUUGGGCCGGUCACAGUCAGCGGGUUUUUAAAGCAGUUGACAGGCAGCUGUUUGCAGUGUAAACUGAUGAGAGUAGUAAAACAGUAGGGUUGUUGGCCAUUAAACCAAAGCAGUAAGCUGAAGGUUUCUAAAACGCUUCAUUAAGUAGAGGGGAAGCCUCUCACUAUGAAUGACAGCUAAGACAUUACACGUUAUAGAUCACUGAUUUGAGCCACUUUAAAGGUCAGAUUACCAGGUUAUGUGAUAUUAUUUAACUCCUCCAUUCUCCAACAAUAAUAAGAACAAAAGUUGCAUGGCAAGUUGCUACAGUUCGGAGUGGCUUUAAAGAUUAACCCAAAAUGUAUUAAAUUCUGAUGUCAGCUGCCCUACAUGUUAUCACUCAGCAGCAGCAGCAGUUGUUUAGAUGUUGUGGUUAUGCAUGUCUUUAGAAGAUUUCUGGAUCUCAGUAUUUGAAGUGCUCACAUACAAUAAAUCCACCACAACACAACAGAUAUAAUUACAACAGAACAUUGCAUAACUUCAUAUCAGUCAUUGUUAGACUGUCUGCCCUUCUGUCUUUUAUAUGAUGCAUCGGUGAUUCAUAUGGAGAAACUGAGAUUCACUUUAAACAGAUCACCUAUGUACUCACAUAUAAUUAAAACAGAUUUCCAUUCAUCGAUUACUUAGGGAAGUGCAAAGAACGUCAAUUUUUUUUAUGUCGUUAUUUGAUGGGCUGGGUUUGUCACAAGAACAGGCAUCAUGAUACACCUGAACUAUAAACAUGGGGAGUCUGCAACUAUAUAAUUGUACUUUUUAAAUCUUUCUGUCAUUGUUGUCUUUAUGUUUAAUAUUGUAGAAAUGGGAUGAAUUAAUAAAAAGCCGAUAAUAAUAUUAACUUAA